rnacentral:rRNA from 1 species
UACGUAGGGUGCGAGCGUUGUCCGGAAUUAUUGGGCGUAAAGAGCUCGUAGGCGGUCUGUCGCGUCGGUCGUGAAAACUUGGGGCUUAACCCUGAGCUUGCGGUCGAUACGGGCAUGACUGGAGUUCGGUAGGGGAGACUGGAAUUCCUGGUGUAGCGGUGAAAUGCGCAGAUAUCAGGAGGAACACCGGUGGCGAAGGCGGGUCUCUGGGCCGAUACUGACGCCGAGGAGCGAAAGCGUGGGGAGCGAACAGG